rnacentral:rRNA from 1 species
UACGUAGGGUGCAAGCGUUAAUCGGAAUUACUGGGCGUAAAGCGUGCGCAGGCGGUGAUAUAAGUCAGAUGUGAAAUCCCUGGGCUCAACCUAGGAACUGCAUUUGAGACUGUAUCGCUAGAGUGUGUCAGAGGGGGGUAGAAUUCCACGUGUAGCAGUGAAAUGCGUAGAGAUGUGGAGGAAUACCGAUGGCGAAGGCAGCCCCCUGGGAUAACACUGACGCUCAUGCACGAAAGCGUGGGGAGCAAACAGGAUUAGAUACCCUGGUAGUCCACGCCCUAAACGAUGUCUACUAGUUGUCGGGACUUAAUUGUCUUGGUAACGCAGCUAACGCGUGAAGUAGACCGCCUGGGGAGUACGGUCGCAAGAUUA